rnacentral:rRNA from 1 species
ACUCCUACGGGAGGCAGCAGUCGAGGAUCUUCGGCACUGGGCGAAAGCCUGACCGAGCGACGCCGCGUGGGCGAUGAAGGCCAUUAGGUUGUAAAGCUCUAUCGAGGGGGAACAAGCCGUAAGGUUGAGUGAUCCCUGGAGGAAGCACGGGCCAAGUUCGUGCCAGCAGCCGCGGUAAU